AACGAUGACCACUUCGGUGGGGAUUAGUGGCGAACGGGUGAGUAACACGUGGGCAAUCUGCCCUUCACUCUGGGACAAGCCCUGGAAACGGGGUCUAAUACCGGAUAACACUCCUGUCCUCCUGGACGGGGGUUAAAAGCUCCGGCGGUGAAGGAUGAGCCCGCGGCCUAUCAGCUUGUUGGUGAGGUAAUGGCUCACCAAGGCGACGACGGGUAGCCGGCCUGAGAGGGCGACCGGCCACACUGGGACUGAGACACGGCCCAGACUCCUACGGGAGGCAGCAGUGGGGAAUAUUGCACAAUGGGCGAAAGCCUGAUGCAGCGACGCCGCGUGAGGGAUGACGGCCUUCGGGUUGUAAACCUCUUUCAGCAGGGAAGAAGCGAAAGUGACGGUACCUGCAGAAGAAGCGCCGGCUAACUACGUGCCAGCAGCCGCGGUAAUACGUAGGGCGCAAGCGUUG
rnacentral:rRNA from 1 species